rnacentral:lncRNA from 1 species
AUGAUGGAUUUAUGUCAGUAGAUAUUCGUUUCCUGUGUGUUUGACAGGUGCUCAUGUGAUGUCCGAGCUCAGAGAAAUACACCAGUCACAUCCUUCACGGAAUAUUUCUAUAUUCUGUUUUACGAGAAGCAAUUAUAUGAACGGGGGGUAUAACACUACUUUGCUCCUCCUAAAGCGAUAGUUCAGAGUUAUAUCUGUAUUGCUUAAUGAUUUGGAUUAUAGUUGAUGGAGAGGAAGGAUUUGUGUAUUUAUUUGUCUUGACUCGAAAACAUAAACAGUGUUUUAUGCUAAGUUUAUUGUCUCUCUCUCUCCCCUCCCCCCUCUCUCUUCAUCUCCCCUCUCUCUCCCUCCACCCCCCCCCCCCCCUCUCUCAUGCCAUCCCUCUCUUCCAGGGGAGCUGUGGCGUCUGGAGGACGACGUGGAGGACGAGGAGGAGGCGGGGCGUCUGUGUGCCGCCGCCCGCCCCCGUUCACAAUCGCCCUUCUCCCACUUCCGCACGCGCACCGCAUACCUGCGCAAGAGCGUCUCUGUGGACGACCCCCUGGGCAUGGUAGACUACUGCUCGUCGGCGCCCCUCGAGGGUAAAGGCAGUCGCGGCGGCAAGGGCAAGCUCAAGAGGAAGUUUGAUACCAUCCAGCUCAGAGAUCUCGUCUCUGUGGUUCCAGUACUCAACAACAGUGGUUCCAGUACUCAACAACAGUGGUUCCAGUACUCAACAACAGUGGUUCCCGUACUCAACAACAGUGGUUCCAGUACUCAACAACAGUGGUUCCAGUACUCAACAACAGUGGUUCCAGUACUCAACAACAGUGGUUCCAGUACUCAACAACAGUGGUUCCAGUACUCAACAACAGUGGUUCCCGUACUCAACAACAGUGGUUCCAGUACUCAACAACAGUGGUUCCAGUACUCAACAACAGUGGUUCCCGUACUCAACAACAGUGGUUCCCAUAUUCAACAACAGUGGUUCCCGUACUCAACAACAGUGGUUCCCAUACUCAACAACAGUGGUUCCAGUACUCAACAACAGUGGUUCCAGUACUCAACAACAGUGGUUCCAGUACUCAACAACAGUGGUUCCAGUACUCAACAACAGUGGUUCCAGUACUCAACAACAGUGGUUCCAGUACUCAACAACAGUGGUUCCCGUACUCAACAACAGUGGUUCCAGUACUCAACAACAGUGGUUCCAGUACUCAACAACAGUGGUUCCAGUACUCAACAACAGUGGUUCCCAUACUCAACAACAGUGGUUCCCGUACUCAACAACAGUGGUUCCAGUACUCAACAACAGUGGUUGGGCAUUUUUCUCUUGAUUCAGGCCAACCUACCUGAAUGGGCUGUUUCAGUGUGGAGAGUUGCUCGUCUUGAGCUGUAG